UUCUCUCUCUCUCUCUCUCUCUCUCUAUUUCUCCCUGUAUCGCUACUUCCCCCUGCUACACCCGUGAAUACCGACCAUUAACAUUGAAAUUCAUUCUUCCCCCUUUCUAAUAUCACCACCAUCGAAAUAUCUUUCUGUCUGUAGAACCCCAAAAGCAAAACCUAAUGGUCGUUGUAGCUGGUCCGAUCUCCUUGGUGUCUGUAAGAAGAGGAAAUCAAGAAAUUAUCAUGGGUUUUCAUUAUUGAGAGUUAAGAAGAGGAAUUUGAAAUUAAUUCUCAAAUUAUAGCGAAGGAAUUAGAGGAUUAGGUUUCGUUUUACGUCUAAGAUUAAGAAGCUAAUUGAGAAAACUAGGGUUUUGUUUGUGCUACAAAUCGAAGAAUUAAACGGAAUCAAUAAGUGGGUUUGUUUUAAUUAGGUUUAGAAUUGGUUUAUUAAUGGAUUCGAGUUUUAUGGAUUAGGGUUUCUAACAGAUUGGGGAUUUAGGGUUCAUGGAUUUUAAUUACAGAUUAAAAAGAUGAAACUGAUGGUGAGAAAUUAUAAGAAGAAAAUUGAGUUUGUAUCUGAGGAAAAGUUUUUAUAGGAGGAUAAUUGUUGCAGGUGGUGGUGGUUUAAUGAGCUACAAAACUAUGAAGAUUGUGAUGGUGAUGGAAUUGAAAUAAUAGUUCGGUUGAUGUGGUCUUGAAUGAGCUACAACAGUUGAUCUUAGUUUGGUUUAUAUUGUACUGAUUUGAAUGGUGAUGGAUGAGUAUUGGUUGUGCUGAGAUGCUUUUGAUGAUGAUGCUAUGGUCAGUCAUAAUGGUUGUGACUGAAAGAUAUUGAAAUGAAUAAUGUUGCUGCUGUGAAGAUGGUGGUUUAAAUGUCUAUGUGGAUGAAUGAUAGUGACUUGAAGGAAUGACGCUAAUCUGAAGAGAUUUGAAAUGUUCAUAAGUUUUAGGUCAAGAUCUUGAAACAUGAGUGGCCAGCUAGGUGGUGAAAUUUUAUUCCGGAUCUUGUUUCAGUAGCGAAGACAAGUGAAACAAUAUGUUAGAAUUUCAUGGCUGUAUUAAAGCUUCUCAGUGAAGAGAUGUUGGUCUUUCCACCUGGUGAAAUGAUUCAGCAGAAGAUCAAAGAGCUAAAAUAAUCAUUGAAUAGUUUUGAUGGCAUUGCUAUUCUCAUUGUUAUGUUACAUCAUCAUGUGUGCUAUCUUCAUCUCAAAGAACUGAGCUAUAAGAGCAACACUGGCUAGUUGCACGCUUUCUUUUCAUGGUUUCCUCUGGGCUACGUAUUUGAAUCCCCACUGGUUUGCGCACUAAUUACUAGACUGUCUCUGUGAAUGCUUUCAUAUUGCUUGCAGGAUUUAAUGUUGAGACUGUUGAAUACAAGAACAUUAGCUUCACUGUCUGGAAUGUUGGGGUCAAGAAAUAUAUGAAUUUUGCUACAUUUUUUGUUUUCUGUUCUUUUUUGCAUUUUAUGUUGUUACAAAGGUAAUUAGUAAUAUCAUUUCUUUUACAGAUCCCUCCAUUGUAGAGACACUAUUUCCAAAACACAUAAGGUCUUAUUUUCGUAGUUGAAAGCAAUGACAGAGACCGUAUUAUUGAGGAAAGGGAUGAACUGCAGACGAAGUUUAGUGAGUAAACAUAUUGCAUCUCCUAGUUUCCCAGUGCAUAUCGUCUGGUGCAGUCCUAGUCCUAGGAAAAUGAGUGCAUCUCCUUGUCGUGCUUUAUUGCAGGCUUUUGUGAAGUUUGUCUAACCGAUAGAAGUGGCACUUUCUUACUUCAGUUAGUGUUUUUUUAUCACCUUGCUUGGUGCUGACUUCAUGAGAAUGAAAUCUUUCGACAAAGUUGAAGAGUUUGCGGAGACUCUGGUUAGUAAACUAGAUAGAAGUUGGAAAAAGGGCAUCUGCAAGACUUAACGCAUGCAAAAUUCUCAAACGGAAUAUUUACAGUUGGUAUGUGUGAUCUACCAAGAGUAUUUGGUAGAGCACAAUGAGAUCGAUCCAUGCUUUAUUUUGAUUAAUUUCAAAUAUUUGGCCUACACAAUCCAGGUAGAACUUAGUUCUUUGGCAAAUGUACGGGUAUUUGGUGUGGUAGUGCUAACCAACCAAGUGUAAAGACUAUUGGACAAACAUAAUUAAUUUUUCAUAAAGCACAUGAGAAGAAAGUAGUCUUAAAGUACAAAGACUCGCCUUGUGGCGCGAGGUUUCUCACAAAUCCCUGGAAUUGUUCUCUUGUAAUGAACGUUAUAGAGUUACGCUACUUAGUUAGCUUGGUAAUUUCAAAAGGACUUGAAAUG